GCCUAAGUAAUAAAAAAUCAUUGCAAUGGCAAUUUGCAGCUGGCAGAAAAACACCUUGCAUAACAAUAUAUGGAGAGUAAGAAAAAUGAUGUGAUUUAAAUUGAACCACAUACUAUCUAGUUUUCAAGAACUUUGUUCUAGCCUUCCACUCACUAGAAUUUACCCAAAAAAUUUUUAAAAAAUUCCAAAUCCUUACACCUUGCCUAUACCCCUCCCCAGAAUUUACAUUUUAUUGGUGCAUGGGAAUGUCACAACAAUUUAUAAUCCAUGCCAAUGCCUUGCUAAUCAGACGUUUGAUCAAUUUGUUUUGCAAAAUUCAAAUUCCUGUUUUUAAAUGACACCCCUUUUAUGUACAAAUGCAUAAAAAAUUAUAGAGAGUAAAUUGGAAACUAGUUGUGUGCAGUAAAUAAAAAUUUGUUAUUAUCCACCUUUCAGCUUUGCUGUGAAAAAGAUAUUCAAUUCAGUACAUAAUGGCGCCAUAUGAAGCAGAUGCACAGAUCCUGGUUUUGCCAGGGCUCCUCGUCCCCAGGCGCUUUGAUUUGAGGCUGCGGUUUUGCAGUGUCUGAAGAUUCAGACCUUGUUGUAUAGAGCGUUUGCACUCAUUCCCCACGGGCCAACUCAACAAAAGCCAUGGCGGCCAUGUUGGUGUUCCAGACAAGAGUCUAAUCAAAAUUAUUUUGAAUUGGAACACCAACAUGGUGGCUGUGACGUCAUGUGCAAAUGCUCUAUAUCAGUGUGAAAAGGUACAGCAUGUAUAACAAUAAUUAAAAUGGGAUGUUUUUGUUUGCAUUUCAAUGAUGAUGGUGGUCAUGUAUAAACUUAGUAAAACAUUGUUCAAUGAAGUGUUAUAAAAUAUAUGAAUAACAAAUUUGCACAAGUGUAGUGGGUUUACAGUGUUUUAACAGUUUUUCUACAUAACUCACAGCAGCAUUCUUACAACUUCCAUCCAUGCCAGCCCAGUUUGUGUUUAUAGGGAGAAAGUUUUUUCAGAUUGGGAACCAGGUCAGCCUGGCUGUUCAAAUGUAUAAUUAUGCAAAGUAGUAAUAAUUAAUACACUGUGUGCAACUAUUGACAUGGGUGUCCUGCUUUUAAUGGGAUGGCCUGGGUGGGGUAAAAUUUACACAGAACUAUUAUUUUCAACAUUGACUUGGUGAAUGCCUGGGUAUAAUGCUGUACACUAUUUGUGUGAGACACUAUCUGUAUUAUGCCUGUACAUGUAUCUGUGUUAUAUUUACAUCCGUAGUAAGGCAUUCUGCAGCAAUGUGGACUACAGUAUGCAUGUCAUGUUUCAGGUGCUAUUUAAAGCUACAAACAAAUGGUAUGGGUAACUUGGUGGAAAUGGAAAAAAAAUUAACACAUCUAAAAUUAACCAAGGAAACGUUUACUGAGUCAUUGCCAGUUGCUCCAACUGACUAUAAUACAAGAAACAGUUCCAACAAGCACAAAUGGUUUUUCACCACCAGACAGUCAUUGAUCCUGUCAAAUAUGAAACAGUCCCAUUAUUAAAGUCUGUUCUUCGCCUCUUCGGUUGUCCAACAGUCUGCCAUUGGUCUUGCUCAUUUUGACAUACAUUAUUUUUUCCAUUUGAAAAUGUUUUUUUGCUUCUCUUUUGCGUUUAUUAUUUCUUUGCCGCUUUGUUUUUUGUUUGCCUGGCGUAUGGGACUCUGGGAUGCACGAACGCUUCCCCAAAAUAGCGGGAGAACAUGAACUCUGGACAAGAAGACCUGAAAUUAGCAAAGGAAAUAUCAUGAUUUAAAAGCCCCAGAAAGAUACAAUAUUGAGGGGCGCCAAGGGGCGCCAUUUAAUAUGGUCACAAAUAAUGAUCAUAGAUUAUGCCAAUUGCAAUUUUAAAUGUGAUGUGUGAACGGUUAACCUGUGACAUGAAAAAGUAAACAGACCAGUGUAUUUGGGAAAAAUACACGAGCUUACAAUCAAAUGAUAUUUUUUAUCGAAUUCCAAAAAUUAUCGAUUUGAAAAGUAACACAGCAUAACAAUAUUACAUGCAACUUCCUUUUUAAGAAAAAACAAAAAGUUUAAACUUUAAAACGUGGCAGAAAAUAGAGCGCCAACAUACCUUUCAUCGUGCUCGAAAUCCGCCAUCUUGAAGAAAAUAUCCAAAAUAAUGCAUUGCGGUCGUAGUGCGAUCACCGCCUGUACCAGUACUAUUAACUAAAUAUCUAACAGUUUUCUGGUUCGCUAUUGUAAAUGAAUAUAAACUAGAGUACGUUUCAAUUCAAAACAGUUCGAAAAAUGCAAAAUUUGGGCAAUAUUUAUUUCUGUGGGUCGCCCUUUGUUAUGAACAGAACUGAUGUGCAAACGAACUUGACAAGGUCUUUAAACUAGUGAUGGGCGAUACCGAGUACUUGGUAUUCGAUACCAGCGAUACCACAAACAGCGGUAUCGGUAUCGAUUACUGACGUGGUAUCGUUCGAUACUUGCACCCUUUUUUAAACGACUUGUUUAAUUUCACUUCUUGGUUGAAUAAGACUUAAUGAACCACUAAAAUAAGUCUUAAUAUUCCAAAUGUGCUGCGCCAAGUCAUGUAUAGAAAAUAUUUAUUACGUUUCAGGCUUUUGGUUUACAUAUAGCUUUAUUUAGGUUACAUACAGUAAUGUAAAAUGUUUUUCCGCUGACCGGCAGGUAUCGAAAGUAGCCGAUACUAGCAAUUUAAGUACUCACUUCCGGUAUCGAAAAUUGAAAUUGUGUGUUCAUUUUGGUAUCGAAAUAGGUAUCGGUAUCGGCCGAUACCGAUCUUAAAAGUAUCGGUAUCGGUAUCGAAUUAAAAAUCCUGGUAUCGCCCAUCACUACUUUAAACAUUAAAAAAAUCCAAAUAUAUAUCAAAAAAUCAAAAAAUCAAAAAAUCAAAAAAUCAAAAAAUCAAAAAAUCAAAAAAUCUAAAAAUCUAAAAAUCUAAAAAUCUAAAAAUCUAAAAAUCUAAAAAUCUAAAAAUCUAAAAAUCUAAAAGUCUAAAAAUCUAAAAAUCUAAAAAUCUAAAAAUCUAAAAAUCUAAAAAUCAAAAAAUCAAAAAAUCUAAAAAUACAAAAACUGUUUUUGUGCUGUCGCGUCUGGGCCGCCGUAAAUAAGGGAGUACAUUUAUUAUGCUGGGGGGGGUGAAGAUGUUAAGGGGGGCAUCGAAAUAUUCUCUGGCAAUCUGGCAUUGAACGGGGGGCUCGAUAUACUGACGGGGGGGGGGGUAGCUGUAAACUUUUCAAAGUUUUGGUCCAGCAGUGGCCUGGAGUGUUCACUCCCACAUAGUUAAUGGAAUAGAUGGUUUGAAAACUCCCCCUACUGUGAAAUUCAGACAAAAAUAUGUAAAAUUCAAGUUAAAAUUUUGACAUUUUCAGGUAAAAUUUGCGUAAUAAAGUAAUUAUUUUUGUGAAAUGAUAACCAUUUUUGUAAAAUACAGUCAAUUUGCAUGAAAUUUGUUUGCGAAUUUGCUUUAAAACACGCCAGAAAUUCAGUCGUAGAAUGUAAACAUUUUCUGGGGGAGGACCCCCAGACCCCUUUUUUCUCCCGAAACUUAAUAUGAGAGUGCCAAUCAAUCACAAAAAGCUUUAUUAUUAUUAUUACAUGUAUAAUCCCCCAACAUCCCCCCCCCCCAAACGUCAGAUGCUUUGCUAGGUCCCUGAUGGUUGUAUUCGAAACCGAUUUCAGUUUCAAGAUAUCCUUAGUCUGCUCUUCUAUAAAUGGAUACAUGAAAUCACCUAUAGCUCACUUAAAUUUUUUUGGCACCAAUCUAAAAUGGUUUUUUUUAAAGGGUGCCAUUUAAUCUGGCGCUAGUGAGGUGAAAGAAGCAGUAGGUCGGUAUUUUAGUUGAGGAGAAGUACAUGCUUGAGUAUAUCAGACAUCUUGAGGAGCUGCAAAUUGUAUAUAUGAUGCCUACGAUAAGAGAGAAUUCCGGAUUGUACUGCUUCAAUUCCGAAUUCUGGAGGGGGGGGGGGCAUUGAAAAUUUUAGAAACUUGGAGGGGGGCAUCGGAAAUUUACCAAUAAUCUCAACAGGGGCCCUGUAAAAUAUGAGCUUUUUUUCAAGACAUAUCCAUCUCCCCCCCCACCCCCCCAACC